rnacentral:rRNA from 1 species
ACUCAAAUGAAUUGACGGGGGCCCGCACAAGCGGUGGAGCAUGUGGUUUAAUUCGAUGCAACGCGAAGAACCUUACCUACCCUUGACAUCCUGCGAACCCGGGUGAGAGCCUGGGGUGCCGAAAGGAGCGCAGAGACAGGUGCUGCAUGGCUGUCGUCAGCUCGUGUUGUGAGAUGUUGGGUUAAGUCCCGUAACGAGCGCAACCCUUGUUCCUAGUUGCCAGCAUUAAGUUGGGGACUCUAGGAAGACUGCCGGUGAGGAACCGGAGGAAGGCGGGGACGACGUCAAGUCAUCAUGGCCUUUAUGGGUAGGGCCACACACGUGCUACAAUGGGGCGUACAGAGGGUCGCGAACCCGCGAGGGGGAGCCAAUCCCGAAAAGCGUCUCGUAGUCCGGAUUGGAGUCUGCAACCCGACUCCAUGAAGUUGGAAUCGCUAGUAAUCGCGAAUCAGCAUUGUCGCGGUGAAUACGUUCCCGGGCCUUGUACACACCGCCCGU